rnacentral:sRNA from 1 species
GAAAGCUUGUACUAUUUUGGAGAACGGCGAACAGAUAAAACCAAUGGCACUAAAAUAUCAGGGAGUAGAAACGCCUUCUCAGAAUAGAUAUGUUGGAUAUUUUGCACAAGUGAAACAUAGCUACAACUGGAAUCUCCCUCCAAGAAAAACACUGUUUAUAAAAAGAUUCGUUAUUUAUUCGAUUCAUGGUGUUGGAACAGGCGAUGGAUAUGAUCUAAAAGUCCAAAUAGUAAUGAAGAAAAAGAUUGUCUUUUCCUGUACUUCCUUAAACAAUUGUCGGGUAUUUCAUGACACUGAAACAGACAGGGUAAUAAUUGAUGUGUUCAACUGUCCACCUCUGUAUGAUGAUGUGAAAGUGCAAGUUUCCUCUUCGGACAAAAAAUAAUAUCUAAAGAUAUUUUGGCACUAACGGCGCUAUCUGUAGCAAGAAAGUUGAGCAGUGUGAACUGUUGAGACUUCCAAGAAGACUUCAGAGAACCAAGACAGUGUAAAGGAAAACAGGAAAAAAGACUUGUUAGACAUUAUUAAGGGCACGAAAGUUGAAUUGAGCACAGUAAAUGUACAAACUACAAAGCCACCCAACAGAAGUCCACUUAAAAGCUACAACUGGCGGGCCUCAAAGAGCUACAGAGCAUGCUCCAAAGAAGAGAAAUGAGCCCCUGAGUCCUGAGUUGGUGGCAGCUGCAUCUGCUGCUCUGUUUUGACAAGCAAACAAGCCAGAACUGCUCAGGCAGCUCCGUAGCAUGAGGAAGAGUCAGGGGCACAGAGAGAUGGAGAGAGACCCAAUUAGAGAGGGAACCAUGUGCUGGAUUUAGCCAGUCCUGCAUUUUUCUAUACCUUAAAUCAAAAUGGGCCAUGCUUCACAUCUACCCACGAUGAAUAGGGGUACUUUGAUUAAGAAUAAAUAGAGCUGACUGAAUUCUGAACAAGAAAAACAUAUUCAAGGGGAAGAGAUGUAAUAGUUUUGACGUGACGACAGUUACUAAAGAAGCACCUGAACAGACACAUCACCUUCACUUUGGGAUGUGGAAUUUGCUAAGUAAGCCACAGAAAAUGAACAUCCCUUCAGAAUGGGUUUGAAGAGCUGAUCCAGUGGAUUAAAGAGGGGAAACUGGGAGUUCCCAAUUAACAAUGAAGCAGGAGCUGACUAAGGCUUUGAAACAGAAACCAGAUGAUGCACAAUAUUAUUGUCAAAGAGCUUAUUGUCACAUUCUUCUUGGGAAUUACUGUGGAUCUGUAAAUAACUGACGAAAAACCCAUCUGUUUCUACGUAGUUGCUGUUGCCAACACAAAGAAGUCUUGUGAACUCAAUCCAAAUAAUUCCACUGCUAUGCUGAGAAAAGGGGGCUGGCGGCAUGGAGUCUUGCUCUGUCACCCAUCCUUGAGUGCAAUGGCACCAUCUUAGUUCACUGCAGCCUUGAAUUCCAGGGCUCGAGCCAUCCUUCUGCCUCUGCCUCCUGAGUAGGUGGGACUACAGGCAUGUGCCACCAUACUGAGCUAAUUUGUUAAACACUUUUUUUGUAGAGACGAGGUCUUGCUACGUUUCCCAGACUGGUCUCUGAACUCCCGGCCUCAAGUGAUCCUACUGCCUUGGCCUCCCAAAGUACUGGCAUAAUAGACAUGAGCCACUGCACCUGGCUCCUAAGUUCUUUUCUUGAGUAAUAUCUUUCUUUUCUUUUUUUUUUUAUUUUUUGAGGUGGAGUCUCACCCUGUUGCCCAGGCUGGAGUGCAAUGGCAUGAUCUCGGCUCACUGCAACUUCUACCUCCCGGGUUCAAGUGAUUCUCCUGCCUCAGCCUGCUGAAUAGCUAGGAUUACAGGCGUGUACUUCCACGCCUGGCUAAUUUUUUGUAUCUUUAGUAGAGAUGGGGUUUCACCAUGUUGGCCAGGCUUGUCUCAAACUCUUGACCUCGUGAUCCACCCGCCUUGGCCUCCCAAAGUGUUGGGAUUACAGGCGUGAGCCACCACGCCUGGCCAAGUAAUAUCUUAGUAUCAUGCCAUUGACAUUUAUCCUCUAAUUAUUUCAGAGGUGGCCUUCAGAAGGAGGCCUCUUUGGUAAAAUUGCUAUUGAGGAUAUUUCACUGAAAAACAAAUUUAUCUUUAAAUUUAAAUCCAGGAAAAAUUUAAACUUUUAGGCUUCUAUUUUUAUCAGACAGGGUAAAACAUUUAUAACUCAGAAUAUUACCUUUUCCCCUCUUUGUGUGAUGGAUUGCUUGGUUUUAGUUACUGAUUAUUUAAAAUAAUAAGUUAUUCAAAUCUAGGAUUUUGAUACAAUAGUUCUUCUCUAGAAUAUAGUGUGUGUGUGAGAGUAUAUUUAAAAUUUUUAUUAAGGCCCAUGGGGCAGCCUUUGAGGAAACCAGACCUUGGGGAUCGCCAGGCAGGAUUAGUGGCAGGAAUUGAGAGAACAGAGCCCCACAGAGCUCGUCGGGGACUGUCCCCCAGUCACAAGAGUAUCUCAAGGAAGUAGUCUUCUCCCACAUUCCCCAAAGAUAGCUACCAGAGGGUCAGUCCUCUGAACCCUUCUCAGUGUAGAAAAGACAAGUGUCAAAGCUUCCCCACUCACCCUGAGUUUGCCUUCUAUGACAAUACGUCACUUGGCCUCACUGAGGCUGAGCAGAGGAUGCUGGACCUCCCAGGAUAUUUUGGGUCAAAUGAAGAGGAUGAAACCACAAGUACACUUAGCGUGGAGAAGCUGGUGAUCUAGACUGAGAAUCAGCCUGAGCUUUACACAGCUGGGGUCUGCUACUCGCAUUUUGUAGACUUUUGUGUAACUAUUUGUACCGUAGGACAGAAUGUGAGGAGGAAGUAACACACAGAGGAGGAUGUGUGUGUAUGCAUGUGUUUGAAUUCACAAGGAAGAAAUUAUUUAUCUUGAGCUUUUUCCUUUGUUAUUCAGUUUUUAUUGGUUUAUUACUAAUAAUGAUAAUAAAAUGUAAACAAGAGCAAA